rnacentral:rRNA from 1 species
GACGAACGCUGGCGGCGUGCUUAACACAUGCAAGUCGAACGGUGAAGCGCCUUCCUUUUUGGUGGGUGUGGAUGAGUGGCGAACGGGUGAGUAACACGUGAGUAACCUGCCCCCUUCUUCUGGAUAACCGCAUGAAAGUGUGGCUAAUACGGGAUAUUCUGGGUCUGUCGCAUGAUGGGUCUGGGAAAGAUAUUGUUUCGGUGGGGGAUGGGCUCGCGGCCUAUCAGCUUGUUGGGGGGGUGAUGGCCUACCAAGGCGGUGACGGGUAGCCGGCCUGGGAGGGUGGACGGUCACACUGGGACUGAGCCACGGCCCGGACUCCUACGGGAGGCAGCAGUGGGGAAUAUUGCACAAUGGGCGCAAGCCUGAUGCAGCGACGCCGCGUGAGGGAUGGAGGCCUUCGGGUUGUGAACCUCUUUCGCCAGUGAAGCAGGCCUGCCUCGUUUGUGGGUGGGUUGACGGUAGCUGGAUAAGAAGCGCCGGCUAACUACGUG